rnacentral:tRNA from 1 species
UGCUCUAUAGCUCAGUUGGUAGAGCGCCUGACUGUUAAUCAGGUUGUCGCAGGUUCGAGCCCUGCUGGAGCAG